rnacentral:rRNA from 1 species
GAUGAACGCUAGCUACAGGCUUAACACAUGCAAGUCGAGGGGUAGCAGGGUAGCAAUACCGCUGACGACCGGCGCACGGGUGAGUAACACGUAUCCAACCUUCCCAUAACUCGGGGAUAGCCUUUCGAAAGAAAGAUUAAUACCCGAUAGUACUUUAUUAAGGCAUCUUAAGAAAGUUAAAGAUUUAUUGGUUAUGGAUGGGGAUGCGUUCCAUUAGAUAGUUGGUGAGGUAACGGCUCACCAAGUCUUCGAUGGAUAGGGGUUCUGAGAGGAAGGUCCCCCACAUUGGUACUGAGACACGGACCAAACUCCUACGGGAGGCAGCAGUGAGGAAUACUGGUCAAUGGGCGAGAGCCUGAACCAGCCAAGUAGCGUGAAGGAUGAAGGUCCUAUGGAUUGUAAACUUCUUUUAUAGUAGAAUAAAGUGAUCCACGUGUGGAUUUUUGUAUGUAUACUAUGAAUAAGGAUCGGCUAACUCCGUGCCAGCAGCCGCGGUAA